AGCGAACGCUGGCGGCAGGCCUAACACAUGCAAGUCGAACGAACUCUUCGGAGUUAGUGGCGGACGGGUGAGUAACACGUGGGAACGUGCCUUUAGGUUCGGAAUAACUCAGGGAAACUUGUGCUAAUACCGAAUGUGCCCUUCGGGGGAAAGAUUUAUCGCCUUUAGAGCGGCCCGCGUCUGAUUAGCUAGUUGGUGAGGUAAAGGCUCACCAAGGCGACGAUCAGUAGCUGGUCUGAGAGGAUGAUCAGCCACAUUGGGACUGAGACACGGCCCAAACUCCUACGGGAGGCAGCAGUGGGGAAUCUUGCGCAAUGGGCGAAAGCCUGACGCAGCCAUGCCGCGUGAAUGAUGAAGGUCUUCGGAUUGUAAAAUUCUUUCACCGGGGACGAUAAUGACGGUACCCGGAGAAGAAGCCCCGGCUAACUUCGUGCCAGCAGCAGCCGCGG
rnacentral:rRNA from 1 species